UACGUAGGGUGCGAGCGUUGUCCGGAAUUAUUGGGCGUAAAGAGCUCGUAGGCGGUGUGUCGCGUCGAUCGUGAAAACUUGGGGCUUAACCCUGAGCUUGCGGUCGAUACGGGCAUCACUGGAGUUCGGCAGGGGAGACUGGAAUUCCUGGUGUAGCGGUGAAAUGCGCAGAUAUCAGGAGGAACACCGAUGGCGAAGGCGGGUCUCUGGGCCGAUACUGACGCUGAGGAGCGAAAGCGUGGGGAGCGAACAGG
rnacentral:rRNA from 1 species